rnacentral:rRNA from 1 species
GACGAACGCUGGCGGCGUGCUUAACACAUGCAAGUCGAACGGUAAGGCCCUUCGGGGUACACGAGUGGCGAACGGGUGAGUAACAAGUGGGUGAUCUGCCCUGCACUUCGGGAUAAGCCUGGGAAACUGGGUCUAAUACCGGAUAGGACCCUGGGAUGCAUGUCCUGGGGUGGAAAGCUUUUGCGGUGUGGGAUGGGCCCGCGGCCUAUCAGCUUGUUGGUGGGGUGAUGGCCUACCAAGGCGACGACGGGUAGCCGGCCUGAGAGGGUGACCGGCCACACUGGGACUGAGAUACGGCCCAGACUCCUACGGGAGGCAGCAGUGGGGAAUAUUGCACAAUGGGCGCAAGCCUGAUGCAGCGACGCCGCGUGAGGGAUGACGGCCUUCGGGUUGUAAACCUCUUUCAGCACAGACGUAGCGCAAGUGACGGUAGGUGCAGAAGAAGGACCGGCCAACUACGUGCCAGCCGCCGCCGUAA